ensembl:lncRNA
AUCCUGUUCAGGCCUCGCUGUGGUUUGCGUGAUUCAAAGGCGAUGAUGACGAAGUGUCAGAGAACAGAAAACUCAGUUUAGGUGGAGCUGGACUGUUACUGUCAACCAAACUAGACCGGACUGAAAGAUGCGCACUUACUGUGUACUUCCACACUUUUUUGCUGCUCUUCUCUUGUGUGAUUAUGGGAUGUUCUCCACACCAUCACCAUCUCCUUCAGGGAUCCCCACUAAUGCAAUAUCAACGAUAUCCGACUCUAACACUACUGUGACGACAGCUAAAUCCGUAACAGCCGGGAAUGGCUCGAGCACGUUAGAAUCUGGCUUAGGGAAAAAUCUGCCAAAUGAUUUAAAUGGUACGACUGAGAGCAGCAGAGACCAUUCUGUCACUGAAUCUCAAAGGGUUAAUGGAAGCACCAGCAGAGCGAUCGCUUCAACAGCAAGUCCAGAGAGCACCACACACAACGUGAAGCACCAUACUACUCAAGAAAAAAAAGGUGUCAUCAUUUUGAUCAUCAUCCUGCUCCUGAUUUUUUCUCUGCUUGGCAUUUUGUACUAUCUGAGAAAGAAAGCAAGGAGUUACUCAUUUGAUCUGACUCACGUCGACGUAGCUGCCAAUGAUUACACUGACACCCCGCUCAGGAGCGACCAACAAGGCAUAAGCUAUGAACAAACUAACAAAGAUCUGCCUGUGUGUUCAGACUAUGUACAAGAGGACAAGACUACAGAGGAGAAGACUAAUCCCAUCGCAAAUGGGUCUUGUGGAGAGAAAACUGAACAAGCACCCACCAAUGACAACGAUUAUCAGAAUGUUCCAGAAGAGAACAGUUUCUCUUCAAACUCGAGCUUGAGUACACCCAUGAAGAACGAGGAUUUUAACCUGUACCUAAAUCUGCUUGGAGGUGAUUUAAACGAUUUGACCGAAGCUGAAGCCACCGAUACGACGCAAAAUGAAAACAACAAUAAUGUCAGUAAUGCUGAGCAGGGAGCAGCAGAAGAGAUCUUCACUGAAAUCAGUCUAGAUGAGCCAAACUAGCAUGCAUAGUGUGUGUUUCCAGUGCAGCGGUCAAGAUCUCGGGUGUCCGGUACCUAGAUCCAAACUAU